AUUGAACGCUGGCGGCAUGCCUAACACAUGCAAGUCGAGCGGAUGAACGGAGCUUUCUCCUGUAUUCAGCUGCCGGCGGACGGGUAAGUCACAGGAAUAUACCCUACCUAUAGGACUAGGUUCAGUAAGGGGACCCUGAGCCAAUAUCGGAUCAUAUGUUGAACCGCAUGGUUCUAUGGUGAAAGACGUUUUUGCUGUCCCUUGUAGGUGUAUCCUCGCCGCAUUAGCUAGUUGGUAGGGUAACGGCUUACCAAGGCGACGAUCCGUAGCUGGUCUGAGAGGAUGAUCAGCCACACUGGAACUGAGACACGGUCCAGACUCCUACGGGAGGCAGCAGUGGGGAAUAUUGGACAAUGGGCGAAAGCCUGAUGCAGCAAUGCCGCGUGUGUGAAGAAGGUCUUCGGAUUGUAAAGCACUGUAAGUUGGGAGGAAGGGCAGUAAGUUAAUACCUUGAUGUCUUGACGUUACCAACAGAAUAAGCACCGGCUAACUACGUG
rnacentral:rRNA from 1 species